GGAGAAACAAACACUCAUCUAUAAUGAGCACAUGGUGUGUAGAAAUCCCAUUUGUCUUAAGAGGGAGAGUUUAUGCCAUAUCAUUUCUGUAUCCUGGCACCCAGCACAUAUUAGGUAUCUUAGGCCUGCCACCCAUUCUUAAGGGGGAAAAAUACACUUGACUUUGCUAAAAUCAACAAAUCUGUGUGUUUGUAACUCCAGUGCAAUCUGAUGCGCUCCAAGAGACAACCAAAGCAGACCAGGAGUCAACCGCGAAGCUAAAAGACAUUUUAAUAGGUAAGUCUCUGUCUCUAUAACAGAUACAGCCCAGAGAAAUUUCUGGCAUCAGGUCUACAUGAUGCCUCUGUGCACAAAGACAAGCCCAGAAGAAGCAGACAUUCAUUUGUUCACCUGAACACAACGCAUAAAUGAGGUGAACACUGCACGCUAACACAGAGUCUGUGCAAUAGUAGAUUUUGCUGCCUCACUAUACAUGGCUUCCUUCCUGGCCCACCCACUUUCCUAUGAGAAGCUGAGCCCCUCAGCAAAACUUCCGCACUUUAGGAAUUAUACAAGGGUAAUGGGGGAAGAGAGGAAGAGGUGGGAACUUUUUUAAUGACAUGGCUUUUCUGCUGAUGUGAUUCUCCUGCUCCAAAAUUAGAAACCAAGAUAGAGAGAGGCAA